rnacentral:rRNA from 1 species
GACGAACGCUGGCGGCGUGCCUAAUACAUGCAAGUUGAGCGAUGAAGAUUGGUGCUUGCACCAAUUUGAAGAGCAGCGAACGGGUGAGUAACGCGUGUGGAAUCUGCCUUUGAGCGGGGGACAACAUUUGGAAACGAAUGCUAAUACCGCAUAACAACUUUAAACAUAAGUUUUAAGUUUGAAAGAUGCAAUUGCAUCACUCAAAGAUGAUCCCGCGUUGUAUUAGCUAGUUGGUGAGGUAAAGGCUCACCAAGGCGAUGAUACAUAGCCGACCUGAGAGGGUGAUCGGCCACAUUGGGACUGAGACACGGCCCAAACUCCUACGGGAGGCAGCAGUAGGGAAUCUUCGGCCAUGGACGAAAGUCUGACCGAGCAACGCCGCGUGUGUGAAGAAGGUUUUCGGAUCGUAAAACUCUGUUGGUAGAGAAGAAAGUUGGUGAGAGUGGAAAGCUCAUCAAGUGACGGUAACUACCCAGAAAGGGACGGCUAACUACGUG